rnacentral:tRNA from 1 species
GGAGAGAUGUCAGAGCGGUUGAAUGUGCCUGAUUCGAAAUCAGGUGUACUGUAACAGGUACCGGGGGUUCGAAUCCCUCUCUCUCCG